CCGGAAUGAAUCAAACUUGAACAACAGGUUGGACAGAAAGCAGGAACUUCAUCAGCUGUGCAGAAAGUUAAUGAGCUUAAUCACCAAACGAGGCGCAGCUGGAACAACGCCUUCAUGAAAACUUUGACCAGGUUAUCGCCUCGCUGUGAGAUUUGUAUCACGUUCCUCUUCAUUGUGUCCACGACUUCAUCUAUCUGAUGGUUCAGCUCCUGCAUCCUGCUCUGUGGUGCCGGCUCUGAGUCCACUCCUGCUGGCUCCUGGGCCGGGGUACCAGAACCAAGUUAAAGUGAUGAAAGAGUGACUGUCAGGUUCAGCCAGCGGCACGUCUACACUUCAGAGUAACAUUUAAUUUACAGACUGUGACGGAAAGUUCUGGGUUAUUGUGCUGGAAUGUUGCUUCAUACUUUUACUCUAUUACAUGACAUUUAUCUGACAGCUGUGGUUACUUGUUACUUUUACAUUUGUACUUAAUUUUACUUCUUCCUUUUAAAGUUUGGUGCAUAGGUUAGCAACAGAUUAAACUUCCCUGCAGGACAUAAAAACUAUAGCAGAACUGAAGCAAGUGAAAAUGUGCGGCGCUUCAUCAGAUCCAUCUUGUUCAUUUACUUUAAAUCUGAAUCUUUUUUGUUGCUUCUGUUCUGAAUUAUCAUACACAUAAUUUAAUGUUUGUCUACAAUAACAAAUAAAGUGUCUUGUGUCCUCUGAAGGGUUUGAGCUGUUUGUUAAACCUGAAAUAUCAUCCUAUCAAAAUAAAACAACAACAAUCCUUUGCUCUC